ensembl:snRNA U6 U6 spliceosomal RNA
AUGCUUGCUUUACAAUCACAUAUACUAAAUUUGGAAUGAAAUGGAGAAGAUUACACAGCCCCAGAACAAGGAUGACACACAAAUUCAUAAAGCAUUCUAUAUUUGA